GAUGAACGCUGGCGGCGUGCCUAAUACAUGCAAGUCGAGCGAACGGACGAGAAGCUUGCUUCUCUGAUGUUAGCGGCGGACGGGUGAGUAACACGUGGAUAACCUACCUAUAAGACUGGGAUAACUUCGGGAAACCGGAGCUAAUACCGGAUAAUAUUUUAAACCGCAUGGUUCAAAAGUGAAAGACGGUCUUGCUGUCACUUAUAGAUGAAUCCGCGCUGCAUUAGCUAGUUGGUAAGGUAACGGCUUACCAAGGCAACGAUGCAUAGCCGACCUGAGAGGGUGAUCGGCCACACUGGAACUGAGACACGGUCCAGACUCCUACGGGAGGCAGCAGUAGGGAAUCUUCCGCAAUGGGCGAAAGCCUGACGGAGCAACGCCGCGUGAGUGAUGAAGGUCUUCGGAUCGUAAAACUCUGUUAUUAGGGAAGAACAUAUGUGUAAGUAACUGUGCACAUCUUGACGGUACCUAAUCAGAAAGCCACGGCUAACUACGUG
rnacentral:rRNA from 1 species